ACCUACAUUUAAUAAUUUAUCUUUUUCGAAAAUAGUCCAUGAUUAAGCACGAUUUCACCUACAACUAAAUCAAAGAUUAUAUUUUCCUCUUACUAACUAUACUGUAUGUGCAUUAACCACAGCUUCUGGCAACUGACUUACACCGUCAUUAAAUCAAAAAAUUAUUUGGAUAAACUAGCUAUACGGUUGGCCAAUUAAUUGACCAAAACAAUAUUUGUUAACAAAACUUUAUUUACAUAACCCAUCAACUAACAUUCAGUCUGGCCAUGGGCAUUUAUACUGUAUUUAUUUAUUCCCUACAGUAUCUGUGAUUUGCAUGAUCAAACUUUUUGCUGGUUACUUUUCCCUGUUUUGGCCAAAAAAUUACAUUUUUCCUGCAGUGUGUUGAAAAAUCAAAAUAGUAAGGAAACCCUUUGCAAAGGCACUCUCGGACAGAUAUUGGCUUUGAAAAAGAGAAUAGAGUAUGUUGUUCUAAAGGGAGGUGGGGUAGUAGGCUAGGCUAUACACAGUGCUGAGCUGACCAGCUUUCUAACUGCCUACCACACUGGAACACACAAACUACCCAACUAAAACACUGCUAAAAUACUGAGAUUGGCAUGCAGAAUAUAUUUCUUUACUGCACUAUUAUAUGUAAACAUGGUAAUCCUGACAAACUGUCAUUGUUUGAAAAUGAUACAUAGCUCGUACCAGUUUGGAGAAGACCGAAGUCGAACAGAGGAAUUAUUACAAUUUCAAAAUAACUAAGUUGAAUGCCUACCCAAGGGCUAGGACUGCACCUAUCUGCUAGUCUGCAUCUGUAGCCUUGAAAAGUAGUGCCAGCGGAUUGUUCCUCUUUUAUUAAGUUGUUUUUGAAAGUCAGUUCAGCGGAAAUGUUUUAACCCAAUGUUCUAUUUAUAUACAAAACUGAAAUAUACGUAAUUGUCUUUUCAACUGCCAUAUUUGACUACAGGUUGCUAGCUUGCUCUGUUGUGUGGGCAGAAGCCCCUGUAAUGAGAUUAGUGCACUAAAAAAAAUGUAUGAUUGAGGAAAUCCCCAGGCUGAUAAUCACUGACCAUUUGUAAAUGUGUGCUUACUGAUCGUGGCUCACAGGAAAAUAACAGUAAGAGACAGUUUCCUGGACCCAGGUUAAGCCUACAGCACUGUAUUCCUUUUCAAGUAGGCUUAAUCUGGGUCCAGGAAACCAGCUCUUCAUGUUAUUUUCCUGCAGUCCCAAAUGUCACAAAAUAACGUCAAUCUUAUUUACUUAGAGGUUUUGUACUUAUAUUUGAUAGUGUGUAUUGUGUGAUUUAAGAGAUCAAAUAAUUGUCAUGAUAACUGCCUUUUCUCAUUCUUUGAGACACGUGUAAAUAUGUGUAACGAAUGUCGUCUAGAGAAAGAGAGGAGGACCGAACCGCAGCGUGGUAAAUGUUCAUAAUUUUAAUUAAAGAAAGCACUGAACACUGAA